rnacentral:rRNA from 1 species
CAGUCGAACGAUGAAGCUCUAGCUUGCUAGAGUGGAUUAGUGGCGCACGGGUGAGUAAUGCAUAGAUAACAUGCCCUUUAGUCUAGGAUAGCCAUUGGAAACGAUGAUUAAUACUGGAUACUCCUUACGAGGGAAAGUUUUUCGCUAAAGGAUUGGUCUAUGUCCUAUCAGCUUGUUGGUGAGGUAAUGGCUCACCAAGGCUAUGACGGGUAUCCGGCCUGAGAGGGUGAACGGACACACUGGAACUGAGACACGGUCCAGACUCCUACGGGAGGCAGCAGUAGGGAAUAUUGCUCAAUGGGGGAAACCCUGAAGCAGCAACGCCGCGUGGAGGAUGAAGGUUUUCAGAUUGUAAACUCCUUUUGUUAGAGAAGAUAAUGACGGUAUCUAACGAAUAAGCACCGGCUAACUCCGUGCCAGCAGCCGCGGUAAUACGGAGGGUGCAAGCGUUACUCGGAAUCACUGGGCGUAAAGAGCGCGUAGGCGGGAUAGCAAGUCAGAUGUGAAAUCCUAUGGCUUAACCAUAGAACUGCAUUUGAAACUGUUAUUCUAGAGUAUGGGAGAGGUAGGUGGAAUUCUUGGUGUAGGGGUAAAAUCCGUAGAGAUCAAGAGGAAUACUCAUUGCGAAGGCGACCUGCUAGAACAUAACUGACGCUGAUGCGCGAAAGCGUGGGGAGCAAACAGGAUUAGAUACCCUGGUAGUCCACGCCCUAAACGAUGAAUGCUAGUUGUUGUGGAGCUUGUCUCUGCAGUAAUGCAGCUAACGCAUUAAGCAUU